rnacentral:lncRNA from 1 species
UAAAUAAAGGAAAAGGAUGACAGGUGGUCUAAAUCCUGCCCUGAGUUCUCCUCUUCAAAGGAAGGACAUGAGCUGGACGUCACAACCCAUGGACACCUGGGAAGGAUAUGUACCAUCUAGGAAUCGUUCUUGUGGAAAGGGCAAGACAAGAUGCUCUUCUAAGACAACGCGACUAAUACCACCUGGGAUUUCGGGGAGCUCCUGCAGGGGCCCAUCGUGGCUGCCGUCUGCCCAUUCUGAUGGACUCUGUGAGGAUCCAUAUCAGGCUGUGCUGGAGAAGAAAGCCUCCAGCAACUGCCAUGGCACUGGCAAGGCAGGGGCUGUGCUCUCAAUGUGCCUUCUCCAGAUGCUGGGCAUAUGGUCUUGUCCUGAGAGCUCCAAGAUAAUUUGGCUUAGCUCGCUCAGUGAAGGAUGCAGCUGGAGCAGAGAGUGUGGAGAGAGACUUACUGCACUUCCAGAUAACAGCCUUGCUGAGCUUGAUUGAUGGAUGCUGUUUAAUCUGCCAGACAGGCUGAAACUUAAGAAAUGGAGCAGAAACACGCAGCUUGGGCAAACCAUUUGUGUAUAGCAAGGACAUGCACAGUGUCAUUUUAGGCAGCGUUUGUGCUAGGAAGCCACUGUGCACAGACUUCCUCACCAGCACAGCUGGGCACAGAAGAGCUUUGGUCUGUGUGGCAGAGCAUUGUACGUGCUUUGGCCACCUUUGUCUAAGGAUGAGAUUUCUUUCCUCUUCCAAGCCUUUCCCUUUGCAAUUAU